GUUGAACGCUGGCGGCAUGCCUUACACAUGCAAGUCGAACGGCAGCACGGGAGCAAUCCUGGUGGCGAGUGGCGAACGGGUGAGUAAAGUAUCGGAACGUGCCCAGUCGUGGGGGAUAACGUAGCGAAAGUUACGCUAAUACCGCAUACGAUCUAUGGAUGAAAGCGGGGGAUCGCAAGACCUCGCGCGAUUGGAGCGGCCGAUAUCAGAUUAGGUAGUUGGUGGGGUAAAGGCUCACCAAGUCGACGAUCUGUAGCUGGUCUGAGAGGACGACCAGCCACACUGGGACUGAGACACGGCCCAGACUCCUACGGGAGGCAGCAGUGGGGAAUUUUGGACAAUGGGCGAAAGCCUGAUCCAGCCAUGCCGCGUGCAGGAUGAAGGCCUUCGGGUUGUAAACUGCUUUUGUACGGAACGAAAAGGUUUGGCCUAAUAAGCUGAGCUCAUGACGGUACCGUAAGAAUAAGCACCGGCUAACUACGUGCCAGCAGCCGCCGCAG
rnacentral:rRNA from 1 species